GUACAUUACAGUCUUCUCAUUUUUUGGUUGAGUUUCAACUUAAGUUAGGAAUAUCCAGCCCAUCCAGCUUCCUUAGAUUAUUUUUUGGCAAAAUCAGUAUGUAUCCAAAACAAUGAUGCUACAUGGCAGAGUACCGAAAUAUGACCGCAAUCUGAAUAGCCUACGCAUUUUGGGGCCGCCAAGGACAACUUGAUUGAGUCGCCAACGUAUUUCCGGCAGACUUUUGUCUUUUCUCUGCACUUAUUAGCCGCUUCCUCUGCACCAGUCUCAAAAAUGAAAAAAAUAAGUAAAAAUGUAAAAAACGACCGCAAACAAAAGAAAGAUCUUGGAAAAUCAGAGGAGCAGAGCAGCUGGCAGACCAUGAACUUUGUCGCUGACGUUGGCAUUGCAAUUCCCCAUAUUUCUUUCCCAGAUUCCCUUUAUUCUUUGUCGCCGAUGCACUUGAACGUUUGCCUGCUACCCCGGAGUUGAGUUUAUUCUGUCUUGAAUUCAGCGGGGGAAUCAAUGAUUGUAUGCAGUAUCAGGAGUAAUGAUUGUAUGCAGUAUCAGGAAUGUGAGAUAGUCGUGAGUUGGAUUUCUUCUCGUACUGGUUAUAUUAUUAAAAAAAUCUUCCCCAUAUAUAACGAGACUUCCAGGAAACCAGUCCCGUUGUGUCUGCCGCAUUUGGAUAAUUGCUGAAGCCUUGAAAAAUCGACGCGGCAAACCGAGCGCGAAUUACAUAAAACUUUAUUAUGACCAGAUAAACGCAAGCUUUGCUUCAUUUAAGCGAAUAAAAAACACGCUCAAGUGGAGCUGCUCACAAAAAACAGACAAGGAAAUGGUGAAGUAAACAUUUUCGCCGGGUUCUGGUCAUGUGCUCGCUGUGUGGUUGGUUCCCAGUUCCCGGUAAUAUUACGAACUUAACACUUGGUCAGUCCAUUGGCCCAUGUGCAGCGUGGGAAAUGUGGAGGCAUUUCGUAGUCGGGAAUGAAUUGAAAUGUGGGUCAAAUUCGGAUUCAUUAGAACUUGCUAGUGUCGCUGGCGAUCGAGUUAUGUAGAUAGGAAGUAUCCAAAUGAAUGUGACUUCCUUAUCCGAGAAAAAUGGAGUUCCACUGAAAGUGAAACAGAUAGGACCAAUUCAUAACCAAUGUCCACGCUUGGAACUCCAGUACGGGCAUUGUUGAAUGAGCGUAGGAGUCGCAUCCACUGCAAACCCAAGGACCCUGAAAAAGGAAGGGGCCGAGCUGAGGUCUCGAAUUCCCGAAUGUGCGCCACGUGUAAAUAAGCAAUCAAGCAAGUCAAGCACCACCGCCCACCCAUCCUGCGCCCACGUGGCAGGAUGCCACUUGGCAGAUAGCGGGACAGGAGCGGGACACUGGCGAGAAUAGGGAUGUGGCAGUGUGGAUGUGUUCGGUCUUGAGUCCCGGUCUGGGGACUGCCGGAGGGUCCCAGCUGAAACCGCCA